GGUCGCAAGUUUGAGGUCAUAGCAGAAGCAGUCACGAUGCAGCCCUGUCAGAUUCCAACAAGUCUGUAAACUCUGCU
rnacentral:ribozyme from 1 species